rnacentral:misc_RNA from 1 species
UUUCGCAAUGCACAAAACAUCAAGCAGCAAUGCCUAUUUUCAUAUAAGUCACCGCUGACCGGCCCCAGCUUGAUCCAGCGCAAAUCAAUUCCGGCCUCAAGAGGCGAUCUCCAACCCAUACGGGUUUUGGGGAUGCACUAUGAGCGGGUCAAGUCCAGUCGGUACGGCUCCAGGUCGGGCGCUUUGGCUUUCGACCAUUGCUUUCACGAUCUGCUUUGCAGUUUGGACGAUCUUCUC